rnacentral:rRNA from 1 species
GAUGAACGCUGGCGGCGUGCCUAAUACAUGCCAGUCGAGCGAACAGACGAGGAGCUUGCUCCUCUGACGUUAGCGGCGGACGGGUGAGUAACACGUGGAUAACCUACCUAUAAGACUGGGAUAACUUCGGGAAACCGGAGCUAAUACCGGAUAAUAUAUUGAACCGCAUGGCUCAAUAGUGAAAGACGGUUUUGCUGUCACUUAUAGAUGGAUCCGCGCCGCAUUAGCUAGUUGGUAAGGUAACGGCUUACCAAGGCAACGAUGCGUAGCCGACCUGAGAGGGUGAUCGGCCACACUGGAACUGAGACACGGUCCAGACUCCUACGGGAGGCAGCAGUAGGGAAUCUUCCGCAAUGGGCGAAAGCCUGACGGAGCAACGCCGCGUGAGUGAUGAAGGUCUUCGGAUCGUAAAACUCUGUUAUUAGGGAAGAACAAAUGUGUAAGUAACUAUGCACGUCUUGACGGUACCUAAUCAGAAAGCCACGGCUAACUACGUG